rnacentral:rRNA from 1 species
AGCGAACGCUGGCGGCAGGCCUAACACAUGCAAGUCGAACGAACCUUUCGGGGUUAGUGGCGGACGGGUGAGUAACACGUGGGAACGUGCCUUUAGGUUCGGAAUAACUCAGGGAAACUUGUGCUAAUACCGAAUGUGCCCUUCGGGGGAAAGAUUAAUCGCCUUUAGAGCGGCCCGCGUCUGAUUAGCCAGUUGGUUGAGGUAAUGGCUCACCAAGGCGACGAUCAGUAGCUGGUCUGAGAGGAUGAUCAGCCACAUUGGGACUGAGACACGGCCCAAACUCCUACGGGAGGCAGCAGUGGGGAAUCUUGCGCAAUGGGCGAAAGCCUGACGCAGCCAUGCCGCGUGAAUGAUGAAGGUCUUAGGAUUGUAAAAUUCUUUCACCGGGGACGAUAAUGACGGUACCCGGAGAAGAAGCCCCGGCUAACUUCGUG